AGAAGAGAAUGUCUGCUUUAAUUGGCCAGUAAAAUACAUUGCAAGUCGUUAGUAUCUUAUAAACAGAGACAUUAAGUUACAAAUCCGUGUUAAAAAUUGCAGUUCGAUGCAGCCUAAUGGCUGUGUCCCAAAGUUCACUUUUUCCAACAUUUUCCUCCUCCAUUAUUGUGACAAGUAACUUACUAUCUGCCAUCUAGAUGAAGAGUCUGAGGGACAGUGCUUGCAAACAAGAACAGAGAUAGGCACAGGGUCCCACGCAUCCGAACAGCACUUUCUGAAGCCGGCACCUGUGGCGUGAGGACCGUCUGGGAGAAGUUGGCAAACAGCUGGGGGGCUGACCGCCCCUGUCAGGACCCCACCCAGGAGGAGCACAGCCCUCUGUGGCCCUGACAGCUCCUGGGGGCUUCAAAGACAGUGGAUCCCUGCUCCUGGGCCUGGUGUCUGCACGGCAGGUGCCUGCUUCCAACUCAGCAUUCCUCCCUCCCUGAUUCUCCCUGGAGGACCUUUAAUCGGCUCCGUGAGACACACGGCCCAUUUCACCCUCCUGCAGCACCCUCCCCUUCAGUGAGAACAGGCUGGAUGUUCUGAGUUACUUUGUAUCAAAGGGCUAAUAAAAAAACGGUCCUUUAAAAACAUUAGGAAAGACAGCUUGAAUAUGAUACACAUUUCUAUUUUAAAAAUCUUCCCCAAACUUCCACAAAGGGUGGUAAACGUGGAUUCUACUUUUAAGCCCGUGGACGGCAAACCAACACAAUCUGUGCCUGAAGAGGGCCCAGCAGACACGGCUCAGCCCCUGGCUCAUCUCAGUGGCUGGUGAGGCGAGGCUCCAAUCUCCGCAGGCAAGACUGGACCCCCAGGAACUCUGCAGGAGGACCCCGGUGCCCCCAAACGCCAAGGGCGUCCUCCAGUUGGGAUCUCAGUGCCGUUCCACACAACCCAGCACAAAACGGACCUCCAGCAGGAAGGAGCCAAAUCGCAGAGCUGGUGAGGCGAGGCUCCAAUCUCCGCAGGCAAGACUGGACCCCCAGGAACUCUGCAGGAGGACCCCGGUGCCCCCAAACGCCAAGGGCGUCCUCCAGUUGGGAUCUCAGUGCCGUUCCACACAACCCAGCACAAAACGGACCUCCAGCAGGAAGGAGCCAAAUCGCAGAGCUGAGCCUGGAGCCUCGCCACGGCCAUAGGACCACAGGCUCUGGGGAAAGAAGAUGCUGAGUGUCCGGCCGAGCGAAGCGGAGCCAUGAAGGAGAGCCGGGGGCCCGGGCAGGCCGCAGAGCCAGCGAAGGUGCAUGUGGGCAGAAGCGCAUUGCGGCCAUGCACAUGACUGGCCCCUCGCUCUAGAAAGGCCAGCUCCGUCCUGGCCACCAGCGUGAAUAAGGUGAGUGCAACCACAGAGAUGGCCCCGGAGCCUGGGAGGCCAGGGGCUCGGGACUCUGUCUCCCACUGACACCGCGGGUCCCCUGCUCGUUGGUUCCACCUUGUCUCCUCCUCCACA
rnacentral:lncRNA from 1 species